CGCUCGGCCGAACGCGGAUGCAGUGAGCUGGCUAAAAAUGGAAACACUCACACACAUCUACAUCGUCUACAUGUACAUUCAUUACUACACAAGAUCGGCUACGUUCGUAGAAUUUCGUUGCCGGUGCGAUGGUGUGAUUGGUCUAGCUGAAAUUGCUAGACAUAAAGGCAACGCGUUUUCUUUGUCACACGCGUGCGAAACAUGAAUUUAUUGAAACUUGUUUGGGAUUAGUAAACAAAGCAGGAAAAUCCACUUUCCAGUGACCGCAAUAAAGACCGACGCAUGUAGAGCGUGUCGGCAUCAACUCUGCAUGAGAAUUUCGAUUGUUUGCGGAUGGGGGAGCGAGCAAACAAACAGCUGAUUCAAUCACGUGACUUUAUUAUUGGUUACUCAUUGAAACAUCUGUUUUGGUAAAAUUUAGCCAACAUCAAUUCAAUUCAAGUGUUUCUAUGUGCCGAUUGUCACUCGGUCAGAUUUAAAAAAAUGAUGCCUAACUGUGCCUCCCACGUUCCAGCGCAACGAGAUUGGAUGCUGUGUUAGCGACAAGCUGUCUGCCUCGGUUCGACUGGAAAUAAUUGCAUAAUUGCUUGUUGCGUAACCAAUUUGUAAGCAAAUGAGAAUUGUUAUUGGACAAAAUCUAGAAAUUAUAACAGGUAUCGAAGUAAGGACAUUAGCGAAUUGUAAUUCUUGGAAAUUGGAUGUGUUUAUUAUUAUUUCUGGGGAAAUCCAAAUAGAUGUAUAAUUUAAAUAUUCUAGGAAUGCAAAAUAUUGAUUAAUAGAUUCUUUAAAAUGUU